rnacentral:lncRNA from 1 species
AUGAGGGAGAGGGACACGGAAGCUGGCAGACAGGAAUGCCCUGCCCGUGCCUCGCCCCCGCCUCCUCUUCCAGACCUCACCCCCAAAGCACAGAACCAGAAGGGCCGAGGAGCCCGCGAGUUCGGACGCACGCGGCCCAGGGCCGGAGGAGGGGCGGGAGGGCGAAUGGGGAGGGGGAGGGUCUCCCCCUCCCCCUUUCCUCUCUCCGUGUCAAAAAGAAAAGAAGAAAAAAAGAGCGGUUCAAACGCGUCCCCUCCCCCGCCCCCCAGGCCGGGAGAGGGUGGGGGACGACCACGCUACGGGGUCUAUACAGGCCUUUGGAUGAAGCUACCGGCUAUUUGGUGUGAGGUUUCUCGGGCCCUGUCCCUUUUGGUUUCUGGAAAAGAAAAAUCCACAGGUUGUGCCCUCCCCCGACCCCCCACCCCCACCCCUUCCUCCCCCACCCUCCGGGGCCCGGCACGUUCUCCUUUUCCACUGGGUAGGUGGGGGCCCCGGAGCCCCUGGGCGUCAGCUGGGAGCGGGAGCGCGGCGGAGGCGGCCCGUCUCCGGGGAGGGAGGGAGACGCGGCUAUUUGGUGUUAUAGCGGUGAGCGGUGAGCGCACGAAGGUCUGGCUCUGGACUGGGUUUUUUGGUUUCGUUUUUUGGUUUCUUCCGUUCGCCCCGGCUCAGUCUGGGCGGCUGGUUAUGUCUGUUUCUAUUUGGCUUUCCUUUCUUUUUGUUUGGUUUGCUCUUCCGGGGGGGCUUUGGGUGUCUCCUCCGCGCCUUCUCCGGCUCCGGACCCUCACCUCGAUCCCCCGCCGCUGUCCCCUGCCGCCAGGGGAGACCAGAGGGGGCCGGGGGGAUAGUGGCUGGGAAAGGCGGAGGAGAGGCUUCAUUCCGAUUUGGCCCCUGCCUCAGGCCCUCCGGGGGUCUGUGCUGCUGUCUCGAUGCAAGAGGAGGAGGAGGAGGAGGAAGAGGAAGAAGAGGAGGAAGAGGAGGAGGACGAGGACGAGGAGGAGGAGAGGCCUGGGGACUUGGUGGAGAUGGAGGCUGCCACGGCGGCCGCGGCUGCCGAUACGAGGCCCACCCCCGGGGGGGCACUGA